GAUGAACGCUGGCGGCGUGCCUAAUACAUGCAAGUCGAGCGAACGGACGAGAAGCUUGCUUCUCUGAUGUUAGCGGCGGACGGGUGAGUAACACGUGGAUAACCUACCUAUAAGACUGGGAUAACUUCGGGAAACCGGCGCUAAUACCGGCUAAUCUUUUGAACCGCAUGGUUCAAAAGUGAAAGACGGUCUUGCUGUCACUUCUAGAUGGAUCCGCGCUGCAUUAGCUAGUUGGUAAGGUAACGGCUUACCAAGGCAACGAUGCAUAGCCGACCUGAGAGGGUGAUCGGCCACACUGGAACUGAGACACGGUCCAGACGCCUACGGGAGGCAGCAGUAGGGAAUCUUCCGCAAUGGGCGAAAGCCUGACGGAGCAAAGCCGCGUGAGUGAUGAAGGUCUUCGGAUCGUAAAACUCUGUUAUUAGGGAAGAACAUAUGUGUAAGUAACUGUGCACAUCUUGACGGUACCUAAUCAGAAAGCCACGGCUAACUACGUG
rnacentral:rRNA from 1 species